rnacentral:tRNA from 1 species
AUCAAUUUAGAGCUUGAAUAAGUAUCUUAUUUACAUUAAGAAGAUAAUUUUUAAAAUUUAAAUUGA